rnacentral:rRNA from 1 species
UACAGAGGUCUCAAGCGUUGUUCGGAUUCAUUGGGCGUAAAGGGUGCGUAGGCGGCGCGGUAAGUCGGGUGUGAAAUCUCGGAGCUUAACUCCGAAACUGCAUUCGAUACUGGCGUGCUUGGGGACUGGAGAGGAGACUGGAAUUCAUGGUGUAGCAGUGAAAUGCGUAGAGAUCAUGAGGAAGACCAGUGGCGAAGGCGGGUCUCUGGACAGUUCCUGACACUGAGACACGAAGGCCAGGGGAGCAAACGGG